UCUAACAUGUGCGCGGAAGUCAAUGGGUCAGUCAAAACCCAGAGGCUGCAAUGAAACGUGAAGGCGCGGCCUUCGUGAGCUGUUGCGACUCGGGACUCCGCCUAGGUCCGAUGAGGAGCGAGCAACGGCUCGUGCCUAAAUAGCUAGCUCAUGUUGUGGAAAUAUGAGCUAGCCGCUGCACAUGUUGGA
rnacentral:rRNA from 1 species